GCCAAGCCAGGUGUUUGCUUUCAAACUGGAUCUGUCCGCUCUUUGUAAACCACACUCCACACCGAGGACGGCUCUGCUCCUGAGAUCGCCAGGCACGUUUUGUCUAGGCACCAGGAAAUCAACCAGCCAGGUCUGGUCUGCACGGACUAAGCAGUUAUCAGAGGAUUCAUAGGAAAGAGAAAGCCCUCUAAGGGCAAUAUGAACAUCUCAGUGACAGGUUCCUGACCUGGCCGAUGAUCCACCAAUUCAGAUGAAAGUCGUGCUACACCUGUGUGUUCCAAACCCGGCCGAUCGUCCAAACCAUGUCAGGGUAUUCAAAACAAAACAAAUAGCGCACAUCUAGGACCUCCUGAAUCCCAACCCAGAGACGUGCUCAGUGAUGUGCGUUUUUAAAAAGCUUGACGUGGGAGAAAGAUGGGAGUGGGGCGCACACCGGUGCGGACGCCGCCAGCGCGCGGGGGUCCCGGGAGGGGCUCCAGAUGCUGCGCCCAGAGCACCUGCUCAGGGGAAAGCAGAGCAUCCGAGGCACCUUCUUCACCCCCUGCCCCCGCCCUCUGCCCCCCAAAUAGGGAGUGUUUUAUUUCUGGUUGUGAUUUUGAAACCCAGCCGUCGGGUGUGUGAUCCACGCGGCGGAAGCCCCGGGGUCAGACGCAGCGCGGGUGGACUUGGCGGGGCGCAGAGAGGAAGGGGGGCGCCGCGUGCAGGGCGCGAGACGUCGGCUCCCCCGCCCCCCCCCCCACGGGGCCUCCCGGCGCCCCGGUAAAGUCCCGGGGAGGGGGGAAGUGCGCACCCGGGAGGGUCCAGACGCGGCGUGGCAGCCGACGGCGGGUCCCCGUCCCUGUCCCGUCCCCGUCCCGUCCCCGUCCCCGUCCCAUCCCCGUCCCCGUCCCCGUCCCCGUCCCCGUCCCCAAGCUGUACUGCUUUUAACCCUCCUUGAAAGGCUGUAACAGCUUCCGGAAGAGGAACUGCCUUUGAAGUGUGGGCAGCGUUUCGGUGCCUCUGACUGCCCCGUCUCCUUUGAUGUGGAAUGACACCCGGCGGCAGAGGCUGGCCCUGGGGACCAGGGCAUCAAACACCACUCCCAAGUUCACCUCCAGCAGGACCCACAAACCGAAGGGAAGGGCGGACUGAGAUCCUCUAGAAUCUUACAUUUUCCCAUUUCCUGCUGCUUUUUUUUUUUUUUUAAAUCAAUAUAGUACAUGUUUUUCAAAGGUAUCAUUCAGUUCUCCAUGCCUCUGAAAUGACAGUGAAAAACCUUGGAUUCACAUGCUCUACCUGCAUGAUUUCAUCUAAUCCUCACAACCACUGCCUCUGGCUGGUGGUGUCACCCACUUUAUAGAUGAGGAAUUGAAAGUCUAGGUUCACAUAGCUGCCCCAUGGAGAACCUGCCUUCCUUUUUUUUAAGUUAUGUAUGUAUGUAUGUAUGUAUGUAUUUCUAUGAGAGAGAGUGAGUGAGCAUGAGCAGGGGAAGGAGCAGAGGGAGAGGGACAAGCAGACACCACCCUGAGCAAGUAGCCAGACAUGGGGCCUGGUCCUGUGACCCACGAGUUCACCACCUGAGCUGAAACCAAGUCAGCCACUCAACAGACUUAGCCACCCAGGCUCCCUGAGAACGUUUCUUCUUAAGCACGUCCUCCACUAACAGUUAACUGGAUGAAUCAAAUGAAUCACAUCCCACAAAGCACAACAGUGCCUGGCACACAGUAACUGCACAGUGAAAAGUUACUGAUUUUUUUUUUGGAUCACAGUUAUUACAAAUAAUA
rnacentral:lncRNA from 12 species